GGCAACCCUGAUCCAGCAAUGCCGCGUGCAGGAAGAAGGCCUUCGGGUUGUAAACCGCUUUUGUCAGGGAAGAAAUCCUGUGGGUUAAUACCUCGUGGGGAUGACGGUACCUGAAGAAUAAGCACCGGCUAACUACGUGCCAGCAGCCGCGGUAAUACGUAGGGUGCGAGCGUUAAUCGGAAUUACUGGGCGUAAAGCGUGCGCAGGCGGUUUUGUAAGACAGAGGUGAAAUCCCCGGGCUCAACCUGGGAACUGCCUUUGCGACUGCAAGGCUGGAGUACGGCAGAGGGGGAUGGAAUUCC
rnacentral:rRNA from 1 species